ensembl:lncRNA
CGCUGAUGCCGCGGGCCGCAAGGUGUGCUCGGCCGGGCCGUGUUUGCGCGGGUGCCCGGGCAGCGCUGCGCUCCCCGGCAGCGCUGCGCUCGGCCCAGGGCUAUAAUUAGAUUAGCAGCCUGCUCGGCAGCGGUGCCAGCCUGCGAGCCUCAGCGAGCAUGUGCUGGAUUCUGCAUGUGCCUCCCGCUUAUUGGCGGCCGGCGUUGCUGCCUGCCGGUUUGAUAGGUUUCCCCAGUAAUCUUUAUGCUGCAUUACAGACAUAGAUACAGAGAGGUACUGCGUGCAUGCAACGGGAGAGGUGCUCAGCUUGUAGCGUAAAGGAAAGCCCACAGAUGAAAGGCACUGGUCUUUGUUGCAAGGCAUCAGUACUUAAGGACUGCUAGCCUGGGAGCGGAGAGAGUCCUCUGGAGCAUUACAUUCCCCUGUUUGGAGUGUGGACAAGAGUUUGGCAUUCUGCUUUUACAGAAAUGGAGCCCCAGUGUCGUGGUGCCUGGAGCACCAGCUUUCAGAAGGACUUGUGUCUCCUCCAGCAAGUGAUUCUUACAACAGGCACCACGAAGUGUCACCACAGUGGAAAUGUGGGUACAGCUGUGUCUUCAUUAUCCUCUUGACGUCACAUUUGAAGCUUCCUCUCAGGUUCCUUAGAAAUAUGUUAAUUUUAAAAAAAAAGGAAGUUAUUUUCAGCAGAAGAGAGAUGAAACACAGUGCUACAUGUGUGUAAGUGUCCAGUUGGGAGCCCAGGGUGGGGCUCCCAUCAUUUCUCAGACAGCCUCUGCAUGUUGGCUCAUUCCUGCUGAACUGUAUUUGACUUGAAAGAGUGAAAAUAAUGAUUUUGCUUCUCACUAGUCUAGUUCAUAUAUCAGUCAACAAUUGUUGGCUUUGCCAAGGGAGACUUUUGCUCUAUUAAUCCACAAGCUUGCUCUCCAGAGUCCUUCACUGUGGCCUCACCCCAGCCUGCCAACUUCUGGGUCUGCUCAGGGCUUCUUACCCACACACAGCACAGAAAUAAUAUUAACAGCAUCCACUUAAAUCAACAAGACAGCUUUGGGACUAUGCUUACAACUGUUAAGCCAAAGCAUAAAUAUUUCUGGAAACCUCAAAAAUGUAAAUCUAGAGUGGGAAACUGCUUGAAAAUUCACCUGUCACAGGUAGUACUGCAGUUCCAGUGUCAUAUAAACAUAAAGUAGCUUUUGUUUUAACUUAGUCAGAUCCCUAGUGAAAUAUUUUGUGACCGCUUUUGUUUUCAAAUUUACUAUGCUUUAGUUCAGUAAUUGGUUUAUGACUGUAAUUACUAGUCUUUCAGGCAACACUUAUUAAAAACAAAUUAGGUUUCUGAAAACUCUGGUGAUUUCAUGAUCAUAUAGAUCCAUAUAAAUCACAGUUAAUUAAGCUCUUUAUCACUUAGGUUUUCCAUACACAAUGUAUUUACAGCAUUGCUGUAAAUAAGACACAAUAUUCCUAUCUUUCCACACCAAUUUAGUCAUAUUAAAACAAAAAUGGGUUUGUAAAAAUGGAGGCUGAAAAUCAGAAUUUACUUAAGUAGCCUGCUGCACACUAACAAUGAUACGAUGGUGUAAGCUGAUUGUGUUUAUCUAGAGAGGGGGAAAACCCCCUAGAAAUAUAAGCAUAAUCUGAAAAAUGCUAUUUUCAAACAGGGAAAAUGAAACAAGCCAAGUUAAAACUCUUUGAAUAUAUGUUUCCUUUCCAAGUCUUAUCAGAG